rnacentral:misc_RNA from 1 species
CUUUUUAGGGAGACCCAACCAAUUUUAGAUUUGAGAUUUUGGAUUUGAGAUUUGAAAAACAAUCAAUCCAAAAUUAGCAAUCAGCAAUUAAAAAUCUAAAAUUGAGUCAUCCCAGGUCGGUCGCAGGAUUGAGACAUGGCUUUCAAACUAUUAAAUGGUUCGGUAAAAGACAGUGAAGAAAAUAAUGUAGAGAAGCUAACUCAGCAACCAAAGACUACUAGUCAGGACUGCUGGGUAAAGAGCCAGCCAGAACCUUGAAAACUGCAUAGAGAAGCGAAAGUAGGUAGUAGUUGAAAGUUGAGAAAGAUGUAGUUGUGAGUGAAAAGCCAACAACGAAGUGGAAUUUCUCAACAAUCAACCAAAUCCAGACACCAAUGUAGAGU